rnacentral:rRNA from 1 species
UUCUGGACGAGAACUGACGCUCAGUUGCGAAAGCCGAGGUAGCGAACAGGAUUAGAUACCCUGGUAGUCUCGGCCCUAAACGAUGAUCACUAGAUGUCAGGGGGUUUCCCUUGGUGUCGCAGCUAACGCAUUAAGUGAUCCGCCUGGGGACUACGGCCGCAAGGUUGAAACUCAAAGGAAUUGGCGGGGGCCCGCACAAGCGGUGGAGCAUAUGGCUUAAUUCGAUGCAACGCGAAGAACCUUACCAGGGCUUGACAUGUAUCUGCAAGCUUCCGAAAAGAAGUCGCCUUCGAGGGUGAUACACAGGUGGUGCAUGGCUGUCGUCAGCUCGUGUUGUGAAAUGUUGGGUUAAGUCCCGCAACGAGCGCAACCCUCAUGUUCUGUUACCAGCGAGUAAUGUCGGGGACUCGGAACAAACUGCCUCUGUAAAGAGGAGGAAGGUGGGGAUGACGUCAAGUCAUCAUGCCCCUUACGCCCUGGGCUGCACAUAUGCUACAAUGGCCGGUACAAAGAGCUGCUAACCAGCGAUGGCAUGCAAAUCUCAAAAAGCCGGUCUCAGUUCGGAUUGGAGUCUGCAACUCGACUCCAUGAAGUUGGAAUCGCUAGUAACCGCAGGUCAGCAAUACUGCGGUGAAUACGUUCCCGGGCCUUGCACACACCGCCCGUCACAUGACGGAAGUCGGUUCUACCCGAAGCCGCCGCGCCAACCGCAAGGAGGCAAGCGUCGAAGGUAGAGUCGGUAACUGGCGUGAAGUCGUAACAAGGUAGC